rnacentral:rRNA from 1 species
GCUUGCUGGGUGGAUUAGUGGCGAACGGGUGAGUAACACGUGAGUAACCUGCCCUUAACUCUGGGAUAAGCCUGGGAAACUGGGUCUAAUACCGGAUAGGAGCGUCCACCGCAUGGUGGGUGUUGGAAAGAUUUAUCGGUUUUGGAUGGACUCGCGGCCUAUCAGCUUGUUGGUGAGGUAAUGGCUCACCAAGGCGACGACGGGUAGCCGGCCUGAGAGGGUGACCGGCCACACUGGGACUGAGACACGGCCCAGACUCCUACGGGAGGCAGCAGUGGGGAAUAUUGCACAAUGGGCGAAAGCCUGAUGCAGCGACGCCGCGUGAGGGAUGACGGCCUUCGGGUUGUAAACCUCUUUCAGUAGGGAAGAAGCGAAAGUGACGGUACCUGCAGAAGAAGCACCGGCUAACUACGUGCCAGCAGCCGCGGUAAUACGUAGGGUGCGAGCGUUAUCCGGAAUUAUUGGGCGUAAAGAGCUCGUAGGCGGUUUGUCGCGUCUGUCGUGAAAGUCCGGGGCUUAACCCCGGAUCUGCGGUGGGUACGGGCAGACUAGAGUGCAGUAGGGGAGACUGGAAUUCCUGGUGUAGCGGUGGAAUGCGCAGAUAUCAGGAGGAACACCGAUGGCGAAGGCAGGUCUCUGGGCUGUAACUGACGCUGAGGAGCGAAAGCAUGGGGAGCGAACAGGAUUAGAUACCCUGGUAGUCCAUGCC